GCAGUGGUAGUUCAAUGGUAGAAUUUUUGUCCUCCGUAUGGAAAACCUGGGUUUCAUUCCCAGCCAAUGUA
rnacentral:tRNA from 1 species